UCUGGGCCUGGACUUCUGGGC
rnacentral:misc_RNA from 1 species